UGCGUAGGCGGAAUAUUAAGUCAGUGGUGAAAUCCUGCAGCUUAACUGUAGAACAGCCAUUGAUACUGUUAUUCUUGAAUUUAGUUGAGGUGGGCGGAACGUGUAAUGUAGCGGUGAAAUGCUUAGAUAUUACACAGAACACCGAUUGCGAAGGCAGCUCACUAAACUAAUAUUGACGCUGAGGCACGAAAGCGUGGGUAGCGAACAGGAUUAGAUACCCUGGUAGUCC
rnacentral:rRNA from 1 species